rnacentral:rRNA from 1 species
CCGGGUGAUGCCCCGGAAGCCCGGGCGGGCCGUCGCUGCGUCACGCUGCUCGCCCGCGGGCGCCCGCCCUUGCGCGCACGUCUUGGCGCCGGGUUGCCAGCGGUGUCCGGCUAGCAGGGACCGCCGCGGGGGGUGCAACCGUCGUCCUGAGCCGUCCGCCGCGUCCCGGGUGAGCGGGCAUGCAUGGCUUCGUCCUUGGGGAGAGCGUCGCGCUCCGGCAGGA